rnacentral:rRNA from 1 species
CACGUAGGGUGCGAGCGUUGUCCGGAAUUAUUGGGCGUAAAGAGCUCGUAGGCGGUGUGUCGCGUCGGCCGUGAAAACCUGCAGCUUAACUGUGGGCUUGCGGUCGAUACGGGCAUCACUGGAGUUCGGCAGGGGAGACUGGAAUUCCUGGUGUAGCGGUGAAAUGCGCAGAUAUCAGGAGGAACACCGGUGGCGAAGGCGGGUCUCUGGGCCGAUACUGACGCUCAUGCACGAAAGCGUGGGGAGCAAACAGG